rnacentral:rRNA from 1 species
UACGAAGGGGGCUAGCGUUGCUCGGAAUCACUGGGCGUAAAGGGCGCGUAGGCGGCCGAUCAAGUCAGGGGUGAAAGCCUGUGGCUCAACCACAGAAUUGCCUUUGAUACUGUUUGGUUCGAGACCGGAAGAGGUUGGUGGAACUGCGAGUGUAGAGGUGAAAUUCGUAGAUAUUCGCAAGAACACCAGUGGCGAAGGCGGCCAACUGGUCCGGUUCUGACGCUGAGGCGCGAAAGCGUGGGGAGCAAACAGG